rnacentral:tRNA from 1 species
GGGAGAGGCCCGACAGCAACGAAAACUGCUAAUUUUCGGCACCUCGGUUAAACUCCGGGGCUCACUCA